ACGAGCGACAGCGAAGAGGGGAAGCACCGACCCGAAGACAAUGUUUUUUAGAGCAAUGUUAAAGGCCACGUCUGCCGGCAGUGUGAUCGAAGCUUGGGUUAUCAGACUUCAGUGCUCAUAGUUCUAGUACCUUUCGGACCAGAUCCUGAUCUUCAAUCAGACCGAGGUCUCUCCCUGCAGCCUGGGCAAUCCUCUUCCCUGCCACCAGGUUUCCCACCAUGACGGAUGCAGGACCGACACCAACUACAAGACAAAACAGUCCGAAAGAGAUAAAGUGAAAUAAAGCAGGAGGUAAAAACAAGACAGGGAGGCCAGGCCUCAAAAUUAUUGAAGCUGUGUGAGAUCAUCUUGACACAGAAACAAACAAAAGGCAGCAUCGAGAGAAGAGCUUUGAAUGUCCUUCAAGAAGCCUGGAGAACUAUUCCUGAAAACUACUUAAAAAAAAAAUAAAUAAA